GAAUCCUCUGGCUCUGGAUUUGCCUGGAUGACAAACGUGAAGACAACCAUUCUACCCCAAGAAGAGACCCUUGCUGAGAAACAUGCAAUAUCCUCCAUAAAGACUUGCUGUUGAGAAAUGAUUGCACACAGUCCCACAGUGAGAGUGAAAGAGAAAGGAGAAGAAAAACAAGGAGGAGGAGGAGAAGAAGGAGACAGAGAGGAGCAGGAGGAGAAGGAGAAGAAGGAGAGGAAGAGGAAGAACCACCACUGACUGAGUUGUGAUCAUGUGCUGUUAAAAGUGAAGAGGCUGUGGCCCUGUCCUUCACCCCUGGAACAUGGUGCCUCCUGCGGAUUCACUUGGUGAUAAUGUCUCCAGGCCCAUAUGCAUCCCAGAGAGGUCAGCCUCAGGAGGACACCUUGAUCCUCAGCACUGAGACACAUUUGCCAAGGCCUUUAGAAGUGAUUUUAUCCACAUCUGAAGAGUCAGAAUCUAAUUCUGACUGAUCACAAAAGGUCGAGUCUAAACCUUACAACAAAGCUGCUUAGGCCAAAUCAAGAGAAAUUCCUUAUGCCAAAGUGACGUAUUUGGGGAUGGCAUAUUCUGCCAUGCUUCAGUGGGUAAAGAGGAAUCUUCAGUAAAGGUGAACAUUUCUAGGUUCUGCUUCAAUGGGAAAACCUGCCAGUCUGCCCUCCCCUCUGACAUUUUGAUAGUUGGCUUUGAAACAAACUCAAGCUUAGUUGGGUUUCUUAGACAUUCAGAGGUAAGACUGAAUAUUUUACCAGAACUGGUCCUGCUAGCUUUGGGUAGGUGCCACUUUGUUUCAGACAACAAGAAGCACACCCCACAAUGUGAUGUGGGAAAGAGAGUAUCUGACCAAGAGUCGCAAGACCCAGGUCAGGUCCCGCCUCUACAAGCAACAAGCAUGGAAUCACCCUCUGGGUCCAUUACUCUGUCUUUGAAAUGGGAUACUUCUUACUGUAUCCCAAAAUUAUAUUGUGCACAAAUAUUACAAGAUGGCUCAAAUCAUUUAUAAUCCUUUGGAAAAGAA
rnacentral:lncRNA from 1 species